CUACGGGCCGCUCCAGUGGGGAAUAUUGCACAAUGGGCGCAAGCCUGAUGCAGCCAUGCCGCGUGUAUGAAGAAGGCCUUCGGGUUGUAAAGUACUUUCAGCGGGGAGGAAGGGAGUAAAGUUAAUACCUUUGCUCAUUGACGUUACCCGCAGAAGAAGCACCGGCUAACUCCGUGCCAGCAGCCGCGGUGAAUACGGAGGGUGCAAGCGUUAAUCGGAAUUACUGGGCGUAAAGCGCACGCAGGCGGUUUGUUAAGUCAGAUGUGAAAUCCCCGGGCUCAACCUGGGAACUGCAUCUGAUACUGGCAAGCUUGAGUCUCGUAGAGGGGGGUAGAAUUCCAGGUGUAGCGGUGAAAUGCGUAGAGAUCUGGAGGAAUACCGGUGGCGAAGGCGGCCCCCUGGACGAAGACUGACGCUCAGGUGCGAAAGCGUGGGGAGCAAACAGGAUUAGAUACCCGCGUAGUC
rnacentral:rRNA from 1 species